AAGCCUUCCCUCUCUGCCUACCCAAAAGCCACAGAGUACACGGCAUUCAACUCCUUUUUUUUUUCCCAAAACCCAAAAUUAUUUAUUACCCCAAUUCCCCAACCCCCAACAACUUCCCUCUCAGAUAUUUACUUCCAGAUUUUCUCACCCUUCUUCAUAAAUUGUAUAACCAAAAAUAAUUCUCUCCUCAACCUUCAUAAAUCCUCUCUUUCUUUCUUCAUUUUUUUUUACGUUAAGUUUUUCUAAAACUCACUCCCAACCUCUUAAUCUACUUCCCUUUCCCAAGUGAUUGGAGUUUCAGCAAGAAUCAACAACAAAAUUUGGAAGCGGGUGACGGUGACGGUGACCGACAAACAGUGAAAAAAAUUGGCCUUGUUAUUUUUCGGUGAACCUGUAAAAAAACGUUAUGGAUGCAAGACAAUUUUACCUUAGAUCGGCUAACCCAUCAAUGUUCGAGUUUCAGCCGAGGCACCGAUGCGUAUCUAUUUGGAACGACCAAAACUUUGAUGCUUGACUUAGGAUAUCUAUAUAUGACGGUCAAAUGUACAGAGCAAAAUUUUGAAUUUAUGCCGUAUCAGCACAUUUUGUCGUAUCUACCUGGUUAUUGUGAGGAUGGAGUAGGGAUGUGGACCGUUGCAUGGCAUAGAUGGCCGUUCGGGAUGAAUUAGUGAUGAUCGGGACGAAUUCAGAUGCAUUCAUUCAGGUGUAUGUCAUUGACUUCGAGGACCACUUUAGAUGAUCCAACUGCUGACCGAGAUGCAGCAUUGAUUUAUAUUUGUGAUAUGUGUCAGACUAAUUUAGCUCAGAAUAAUUGUGAUUUUAUUGUCAAUGUACAUGGUGAGGAUUACUAUGCUAUCUGCGAAGAAGACAUUGUACAGGCUCGUCGCAUGGAUAGAAGACGACAACGUCAUAACAUGAUGGGUGGUCAUGCGAGAGGUGGACGUGGGGGGCAUGGGGUUGAGGAUGAGGAUGAAGGUGAGGAAGCACAAGAGGAAUCAAAUGAGGAGGCAACUGCAAGAGAUUCGAUUAGCGGUUGAUAAUGUUGGUAGCAGUUACCAUCACAACACCGAUAUAAGUCAAAGUAGCAGAUCACAGUACGAUAAUGUUGGUAGCAGUGGUGUGUUUACGCAGUUCGCAAGCAGUGGUAGUCAAUUCGCGUUCAAUCAAUACGCUACCCCGUCUAAUGACAUUUAUCAUCAUUCUCAAUCACCAAUGGUGUACGCCUCCCCACAUACGAGUCUGGUUAUCCCACGACCGGAAUUUAACAAUAAUGAACCAGCAUACUAUCCCAUUAUAGAUUUUCAAGCAUGGCAAGUCUCCAACCAAUAUGGGAUGGGAUUAGAAUUCCGACUUGCACCGCCAAAUGAUUCCAAGAGAGAAGAUGAUGAGGACGAUAUCCCGUUAACGCGAACGCGAGUGACACUAAGUUGUGGAAUUCAUUCUUGAAGAAUGUAUUAGUUAUCAUUUAUGUUAUUAUGGAAUGUCAAGAUAUUUGGACAACUAAUUAUAUAACUAAAAUUUAUAUU